rnacentral:rRNA from 1 species
CAUGCAAGUCGAACGAUGAAGCCCUUCGGGGUGGAUUAGUGGCGAACGGGUGAGUAACACGUGGGCAAUCUGCCCUUCACUCUGGGACAAGCCCUGGAAACGGGGUCUAAUACCGGAUAACACCGGCUUCCGCAUGGGGGCUGGUUGAAAGCUCCGGCGGUGAAGGAUGAGCCCGCGGCCUAUCAGCUUGUUGGUGGGGUAAUGGCCUACCAAGGCGACGACGGGUAGCCGGCCUGAGAGGGCGACCGGCCACACUGGGACUGAGACACGGCCCAGACUCCUACGGGAGGCAGCAGUGGGGAAUAUUGCACAAUGGGCGAAAGCCUGAUGCAGCGACGCCGCGUGAGGGAUGACGGCCUUCGGGUUGUAAACCUCUUUCAGCAGGGAAGAAGCGAAAGUGACGGUACCUGCAGAAGAAGCGCCGGCUAACUACGUGCCAGCAGCCGCGGUAAUACGUAGGGCGCAAGCGUUGUCCGGAAUUAUUGGGCGUAAAGAGCUCGUAGGCGGCUUGUCACGUCGGGUGUGAAAGCCCGGGGCUUAACCCCGGGUCUGCAUCCGAUACGGGCAGGCUAGAGUGUGGUAGGGGAGAUCGGAAUUCCUGGUGUAGCGGUGAAAUGCGCAGAUAUCAGGAGGAACACCGGUGGCGAAGGCGGAUCUCUGGGCCAUUACUGACGCUGAGGAGCGAAAGCGUGGGGAGCGAACAGGAUUAGAUACCCUGGUAGUCCACGCCGUAAACGUUGGGAACUAGGUGUUGG